CCUACGGGGUGCAGCAGUGGGGAAUAUUGCACAAUGGGGGAAACCCUGAUGCAGCGACGCCGCGUGAGCGAGGAAGUAUUUCGGUAUGUAAAGCUCUAUCAGCAGGGACGAAAAAAGACGGUACCUGACUAAGAAGCCCCGGCUAACUACGUGCCAGCAGCCGCGGUAAUACGUAGGGGGCAAGCGUUAUCCGGAUUUACUGGGUGUAAAGGGAGCGUAGACGGCAAGGCAAGCCAGAAGUGAAAGGGCAGGGCUCAACCCUGUACAUGCUUUUGGAACUGUGGUGCUAGAGUGCAGGAGAGGUAAGUGGAAUUCCUAGUGUAGCGGUGAAAGGCGUAGAUAUCACGAAGAACUCCGAUUGCGAAGGCAGUUCACUGGACUGCAACUGACACUGAGGCUCGAAAGUGUGGGUAUCAAACAGGAUUAGAUACCCCUGUAGUC
rnacentral:rRNA from 1 species